rnacentral:rRNA from 1 species
GCGACCUCCGCUCAGGCCGGGCC